UACAGAGGUCUCAAGCGUUGUUCGGAUUCAUUGGGCGUAAAGGGUGUGUAGGUGGCGCGCUAAGUCGGGUGUGAAAUUUCGGAGCUUAACUCCGAAACUGCAUUCGAUACUGGCGUGCUUGAGGACUGGAGAGGAGACUGGAAUUCAUGGUGUAGCAGUGAAAUGCGUAGAGAUCAUGAGGAAGACCAGUGGCGAAGGCGGGUCUCUGGACAGUUCCUGACACUGAGACACGAAGGCGAGGGGAGCAAACGGG
rnacentral:rRNA from 1 species